GACGAACGCUGGCGGCGUGCUUAACACAUGCAAGUCGAGCGGAGCGGCGAACGGGUGAGUAACGCGUGAGUAACUGCCCCCCUCUCUGGGAUAACAGCUGGAAACGGCUGCUCAUACCGGCUAGUGGGGGGUGACUCUCGUUCUAGUAGUUUGUUGGUGGGGUAGUGGCCUACCAAGGCGUCGACGGGUAGCCGGCCUGAGAGGGCGACCCGCCACAUGGGGCGGAGAUACGGCCCAAACUCCUACGGGAGGCAGCAGUGGGGAAUAUUGCACAAUGGGGGAAACCCUGAUGCAGCAACGCGCGUGAGGGAGGACGGCCUUCGGGUUGUAAAGUACUUUCAGCGGGGAAGGUUAAUAACCGCAACGAUUGACGUUACUCGAAGAAGAAGCACCGGCUAACUCCGUGCCAGCCGCCGCGGUAAUUC
rnacentral:rRNA from 1 species